UGGAUGAUAGCGGGGUGAACAGGCAGUGGCUCGGGAGGUGAUGAUGCACCUGUACUGACCUCUCCUUCUGGAUGAUAGCGGGGUGAACAGACAGUGGCUCGGGUGGUGAUGAUGCACCUGUACUGACCUCUCCUUCUGGAUGAUAGUGGGGUGAACAGGCAGUGGCUCGGGAGGUGAUGAUGCACCUGUACUGACCUCUCCUUCUGGAUGAUAGCGGGGUGAACAGGCAGUGGCUCGGGAGGUGAUGAUGCACCUGUACUGACCUCUCCUUCUGGAUGAUAGCGGGGUGAACAGA